AGACGGAGGGUGCAAACGUUGUUCGGAAUCACUGGGCAUAAAGCGCGCGUAGGCGGUCCUUUAAGUCAGUUGUGAAAUCCCUCGGCUCAACCGAGGAACUGCAACUGAUACUGGAGGACUUGAGGAUGGUAGGGGUGAGCGGAACUCCAGGUGGAGCGGUGAAAUGCGUAGAUAUCUGGAGGAACACCGGUGGCGAAAGCGGCUCACUGGACCAUCACUGACGCUGAGGUGCGAAAGCUAGGGUAGCAAACGGGAUUAGAUACCCCAGUAGUCC
rnacentral:rRNA from 1 species